rnacentral:lncRNA from 1 species
AAAAAGAAGAGCACGGUAUCAACAGACUUAGCUUGAUACCACAUCAAUUAACAUGUCUGAAAUUUGACCCUCGAACGGAUCAAUCUUGAAAAUAUUUUGUUGUUGAAUAGAUAUGAAUCGAAGGAAUGAAACAUAUAAAAUAAUUCUAAGCAAUUAAGAAUCUACAAUUGACACAUAAUCGUGCUGCUAAUAGCAGAAUGACCAUUUUCUUACACAAAUUUCAGAACGAAAGAUAGUAAAUGGAAAACUUAUGGCUUCUGAGAUAAUGGAACUGGGUCUUCUCAUACUGCUCAAGUACAUCCUUACUUUCUCAUUUAGGACCUGAAAGCUUAAAAAGAAGCAAAACAGAAAGUCAAAUAUGUGAAAGCUUAAAAAGAAGCAAAACAGAAAGUCAAAUAUGUGGUCACUGAAAAUAUUUAUAAUGUAAAUCAAAAAUAUAGUCUUCCCACAACUACCUUAUCAGAGAACUUGUAUAUAUUUGAAGGUGUGUCUAGAAGACAAUUAAUUAAGUCUAACUGACAGAUAGCGUUUUUAUCAGAAAAGUGGUUAUUUCAGUCAGGAACUGAUAAAAAAGGCAUCCUAUGCUCCAAAUGGAAGGUAAAAUGCUGCAUUUUGGAGGAAACGACAUUCCAAACAUGUUAAGAAAGAUGAAUAUAAGCGAAAUUUGGGAAAUUAUUAAAGAUGAUUUUACUCUUCUUGGAAGCAAGAUAAGUUCAUCGCAAACUAAUGAAAUUAUGAAUAGUGUUAUUUAUCUAUCAUCUCUCAAUUUUGAAAAAAAAUCAAAAGAGGCUACAGAUUGGAGACGAUAGCACAACAAAAUUGAAGGUCUCACCUAGUUGAGAAACGAAGGGAACAACCAAGGGUGGGUGAUCCUCUUAGACUCCAGAUCAAUAAACACAGCAUGGAGCGUCAGUACGUUUGCCCCGACUCAAG